rnacentral:rRNA from 1 species
UUGACCUCGGAUCAGGUAGGAAUACCCGCUGAACUUAAGCAUAUCAAUAAGCGGAGGAAAAGAAACCAACAGGGAUUGCCUCAGUAACGGCGAGUGAAGCGGCAACAGCUCAAAUUUGAAAUCUGGCCAUCACGGUCCGAGUUGUAAUUUGUAGAGGAUGUUUUGGGCACCGCCCCGGGUUAAAUUUCUUGGAACAGAAUGUCAAAGAGGGUGAGAGUCCCGUCUUGGCCCGCGGUAGGACCUAUGUAAAACUCCUUCGACGAGUCGACUUGUUUGGGAAUGCAGGUCAAAAUGGGUGGUAAAUUUCAUCUAAAGCUAAAUAUUGGCCAGAGACCGAUAGCGCACAAGUAGAGUGAUCGAAAGAUGAAAAGCACUUUGAAAAGAGAGUUAAACAGUAUGUGAAAUUGUUGAAAGGGAAGCGCUGGCAACCAGACUCGAGCGCGGUGUUCCCCCCGGCUUCUGCCUGGGUAUACUUCACCGUGACCGGGCCAUCAUCAGUUUUAGGGGUCGGUCAAAGGCCCGGGGAAUGUAUCCUCUCCUCCGGGGGAGGACUUAUAGCCCCGGGCGUCAUGCGGCCUCCCGAGACUGAGGAACGCGCUUCGGCGAGGAUGAUGGCGUAAUGGUUGUCAGCGACCCGUCUUGAAACACGGACCAAGGAGUCUAACAUCUAUGCGAGUGUUCGGGUGUCAAACCCCUGCGCGGAAUGAAAGUGAACGGAGGUAGGAAGGCCUAAGCCUGCACUAUCGACCGAUCCUGAUGUCUUCGGAUGGAUUUGAGUAAGAGCAUAGCUGUUGGGACCCGAAAGAUGGUGAACUAUGCGUGAAUAGGGUGAAGCCAGAGGAAACUCUGGUGGAGGCUCGCAGCGGUUCUGACGUGCAAAUCGAUCGUCAAAUUUGCGUAUAGGGGCGAAAGACUAAUCGAAC